rnacentral:lncRNA from 1 species
CAAAUAAAACCAACCCUUACACCCUAGUAGCUCACCACUGGAAAAAGAGUCACAAAGGGUUCCUGGACAUCUAAGGUUCCAUCAGUCUCUUGGGGUUCUGUAGUCCAGAAGGGUUAUCUGAAUGGGGUGGGGGAUACCUGCCUGCCUGAGAAUAUGCCAUAGUGCACCCAGAGCCUAACGAAUGAAGAGCUUGACCCAAUUAAGGCUCUCUAUUCCAAAGCCACCUCCUUUCCAAAAACAAGUUCCAGACCAAAAUGGCUACAGAUCCUUUUCCAAAGGAAGAGGGCAAAAAAGGAAGAAAAAAUGGAAGAGAUUGAGGAAGGAGAAAAGUAGAAAAAUCAAGAACAAAAGAAUGAAAGAGAAAAAAGGACAAAGAUGUUAAAGAUUGGAGAAAAAUAAAAGGAGAGACAGAAAAACAAAGUAAAGAAGCUAAAGUAGAGAGAAGAGGAGAAAGAAGAAAAAGAGUGAGAGACAGACAAGGAAGAAGAAGAGAUAGAGGAAGAAGAAAAAAGGAGACUUUAGCCAACAAGGGCUGAAACCAUGUUGAUGAUUGACUGCUGGCAUUUAUAUGGUUGGUAACCAGUGACUUAAGGGUCCUCCUGAACAUGAUGCCUCACUAAUCUCUUCUCUCCAUGUUUCUUUCCCUUAGGGUUGAAUGAAAUGUACAGGGCUAGCCAUCCAUCCAGUCCUCCUUCCUGAUCUCUGGUUGGUGUCCAUUUCUUCCCUUCUCUUCAUUUCCCUCCCACUACUACCCUGGGUCUUUCCAUGUUGUAGGGCUUUGGAAAUAUGGUUCCAAAUUAUUUUGCAUCCACAAGUAAG